rnacentral:rRNA from 1 species
AACUCCUACGGGAGGCAGCAGUGAGGAAUAUUGGUCAAUGGCCGAGAGGCUGAACCAGCCAAGUCGCGUGAAGGAAGAAGGAUCUAUGGUUUGUAAACUUCUUUUAUAGGGGAAUAAAGUGGAGGACGUGUCCUUUUUUGUAUGUACCCUAUGAAUAAGCAUCGGCUAACUCCGUGCCAGCAGCCGCGGGAAUACGGAGGAUUCAAGCGUUAUCCGGAUUUAUUGGGUUUAAAGGGUGCGUAGGUGGUGAUUUAAGUCAGCGGUGAAAGUUUGUGGCUCAACCAUAAAAUUGCCGUUGAAACUGGGUUACUUGAGUGUGUUUGAGGUAGGCGGAAUGCGUGGUGUAGCGGUGAAAUGCAUAGAUAUCACGCAGAACUCCGAUUGCGAAGGCAGCUUACUAAACCAUAACUGACACUGAAGCACGAAAGCGUGGGGAUCAAACAGGAUUAGAUACCCUGGUAGUCCACGCAGUAAACGAUGAUUACUAGGAGUUUGCGAUACAAUGUAAGCUCUACAGCGAAAGCGUUAAGUAAUCCACCUGGGGAGUACGCCGGCAACGGUGAAACUCAAAGGAAUUGACGGGGGCCCGCACAAGCGGAGGAACAUGUGGUUUAAUUCGAUGAUACGCGAGGAACCUUACCCGGGUUUGAACGUAGUCUGACCGGAGUGGAAACACUCUUUCUAGCAAUAGCAGAUUACGAGGUGCUGCAUGGUUGUCGUCAGCUCGUGCCGUGAGGUGUCGGCUUAAGUGCCAUAACGAGCGCAACCCUUAUCACUAGUUACUAACAGGUGAAGCUGAGGACUCUGGUGAGACUGCCAGCGUAAGCUGUGAGGAAGGUGGGGAUGACGUCAAAUCAGCACGGCCCUUACAUCCGGGGCGACACACGUGUUACAAUGGCAUGGACAAAGGGCAGCUACCUGGUGACAGGAUGCUAAUCUCCAAACCAUGUCUCAGUUCGGAUCGGAGUCUGCAACUCGACUCCGUGAAGCUGGAUUCGCUAGUAAUCGCGCAUCAGCCAUGGCGCGGUGAAUACGUUCCCGGGCCUUGUACACACCGCCCGUCAAGCCAUGGGAGCCGGGGGUACCUGAAGUCCGUAACCGCAAGGAUCGGCCUAGGGUAAAACUGGUGACUGGGGCUAAGUCGUAACAAGGUAGCCGUACCGGAAGGUGCGGCUG